CUACGUGCCAGCAGCCGCGGUAAUACGGAGGAUGCGAGCGUUAUCCGGAUUUAUUGGGUUUAAAGGGUGCGUAGGUGGGCUGUUAAGUCCGCGGUGAAAGUUUGUCGCUUAACGAUAAAAUUGCCGUUGAAACUGGUAGUCUUGAGUAUAGAUGAAGUAGGCGGAAUGCGUGGUGUAGCGGUGAAAUGCAUAGAGAUCACGCAGAACUCCGAUUGCGAAGGCAGCUUACUAAGGUAUAACUGACACUGAAGCACGAAAGCGUGGGUAUCAAACAGGAUUAGAUACCCUGGUAGUCCACGCAGUAAACGAUGAUUACUAGGAGUUUGCGAUAUACCGUCAAGCUUCCACAGCGAAAGCGUUAAGUAAUCCACCUGGGGAGUACGCCGGCAACGGUGAAACUCAAAGGAAUUGACGGGGGCCCGCACAAGCGGAGGAACAUGUGGUUUAAUUCGAUGAUACGCGAGGAACCUUACCCGGGAUUGAA
rnacentral:rRNA from 1 species